rnacentral:tRNA from 1 species
GGGCGUGUUGUCUAGCAUGGAUACGGCACCGGCUUCCGGAGCCGGCCUUCGCAGGUUCAAAUCCUGCCACGCCCG